rnacentral:rRNA from 1 species
GGGGGGGGGGGGGGGGGGGGGGAGGGGGGGGGGGGGGGGGGGGUAGGGGGGGGGUGGGGGGUGGGUUGGGGGGGAACGGGUGAGUGGGACGGGGGUAAGGUGCGCAUGACUCUGGGCUGGGCCUUGUAGAGUGCGUCUAAUAUGGGGUCUACGCGCCUGCCGCAUGGAGGGUGUUGGCAGUAUUUAUCGGUGUUGGAUCGGCGGGCGGCCUAUCAGCUUGUUGGGUAGGUAAUGGCUCACCAAGGCGACGACGGGUAGCCGGCCUGAGAGGGUUACCGGCCACACUGGGACUGAGACACGGCCCAGACUCCGACGGGAGGCAGCAGUGGGGAAUAUUGCACAAUGGGCGAAAGCCUGAUGCAGCGACGCCGCGUGAGGGAUGACGGCCUUCGGGUUGUAAACCUCUUUCAGUAGGGAAGAAGCGAAAGUGACGGUACCUGCAGAAGAAGCACCGGCUAACUACGUG